AGCACUCAUUUCAAGCCGUGUCGCGCGAAAUCCAAAUGCGCGUAUGGUCGGGUGACGUGCGAGAA
rnacentral:snoRNA from 1 species